GGUAUUGUUUUGGGGCCGUGACGGCCCACCUCUAUUGCUCAACGUUGAGCAGUCAUCACGCUAAACAUUCCCGUUUGCCAAACUGAGGUACCGAUAUGGCGCCAGCGAAAAAAGGUAAAGCGAAGGCGAAAUUGGACGAGUCAACUCUGUCCUCACAAGCCUCCGCUAACAAAACUCAAAACGACAAUUUCCCUUCAUGUAUUCGCGUUGUUUCUUCCACCUCUGUGGCCAUCACCAUCCACGCCAAGCCCGGCUCCAAAGUCUCCUCUAUUACAGAUGUGAGUGAUGACGCUGUGGGAGUGCAAAUUGACGCGCCGGCGAAGGACGGCGAAGCGAACGCGGCACUUCUCGAGUACAUCAGCUCGGUUUUAGGGGUGAAAAGGAGGCAAGUGUCUAUAGGUUCUGGAUCUAAAUCAAGGGACAAAAUUGUGGUUGUUGAAGAGGUUACUCCACAAAAUGUUUUUAAUGCUUUGGACAAAGGGUCAAAGUCCUAAACUAAAAGGUGAAAUAAUAGAUGUGCAUCUGUUUGCUUGAAUUCCUUUCUUCAUCCCAACAAAAGCUGGAUAAUCGGGAUGAUUCAUUCAGCAGUUGACUCUGAAAUAUUGGCGUGAUGAAGAUUAGGAUACUUCAGAACAGUCAAUUACUGCAGAAGCUUGGUCUGCAGCUAUGUGAAAUGUCUCUCUCAACCAUUGUAUAAUAGCAGCCAUUCAAACUAGAAUUUAGCGUUGAAAGCUACACAAAAAUUGCCUUAAGAACAUUUCCCUUUCUGUGAAGCACCAGCAUGUGAAGCACCAGCACGUACUAACUCUCCUACAGAAAACCAGAUCCCAACUACGUAAAUCUGUAUUAUUUCUGUGUUUGAACUCUAUUUAUUUUUGUCUUUACUAUUUUUUGUAAGAUUAUCGUUAAGAUUCUUGAUUUUCCUCUCAACUUUUGGUGAGUGCUUUGUGUCCAAAUUGAAAUUUCUAGACAGUUUGAGCAGAAUUGGAGAAAAUUUUAACUUUAGAGUAUUGAUGUGUAGAGGAAUUCGACAAAGUGUCUGACUUUCUUGGCUUAUGUUGCAAACUUUGCCUCUCAUUUUCUUUCUAUUUGAUAUUUUUGUUUCUCAAAUGAAGUUAAGUGAAUUCACUUAACCCAGGAACAUCUUGUAGAUAUUAUUUUAAUGUAAGAGUUACAUGA